AGACAGAGUGUUGCUAUAUCAUGCAGGCUGGUCUCAAGCAGUCCUCCCACCAUGGCCUCCCAAAGUGCUGGGAUUACAGGCGUAAGAUACCAUGCCCUGCCUUCAUGUUUUUUUGUUUUUGUUUUUUAAAUACCAUCAGCACCAUUUUGGUGAACUACACAGCAUAUAAGAAAAAUAAUCCCUUGCUUUUGCCGCAAGUAACAUUUUAUAAUGGCAGAAGAGGCAACCCUGGCAGGCUUCGCUAUAUUUCCUGUAGAACUUCCUACCAGCGUUGGCUAAAAGGAUGCUGAAGACCAAUUGGGGCAGAGCAAGAUUACGAUAUUGUAGAUAUCCGACAGAGAGAAAGAGAAUGUGAUUGACUCUUAACUAGAGUCACGCACCACUCUGGAUCAAUCAUCUGAGGCCUGGGAGAAGUGUCAUAACACAGGCUGGAGUGCAGUGGCACAAUCUCAACUCACUGCGACUUCCUCUUCCCAGGUUCAAGUGAUACUCCUACCUCGGCCUCCAGAGUAGCUGGGAUUACAGGCUCGCACCACCACGCCCAGCUGAUUUUUGUAGUUUUAGUAGAGAUGGGGUUUCACCAUGUUGGCCAGGCUGGCCUCAAACUCCAGCAAGGUCAAUAUUUUAAAAACCAUGUAAGGAAGAAGGAAUUGAGGGAGAGUCACUAACUGGGGUCCCAAUGGCAUUAGCUUUUUGGCACUAGACAAGUUCCUAAACCAUAAAGUGGCUGAGUAGGAAGUGGUUUAUCCCACGUACAUACAGUUGUGCACCUUUAGAAUUAUUAACCGGUUAACAUUCCGGAGUGACCCCCAUUCUGGCAAGACUAGGACUAAAGAAACUCUGUUUGCCUUUUGGCUGAUGACAGGGCUCAGCAUGACAGGGCUCAGCAAUACCUCCCCUUACAACAGAAGUAUGAAGCAGAUCUUGAGGAAUCUGAGAAAGAUUAGAAUCUCUCUCCCUUUUUGUUUUAUAGCACAGUAUAUCAUAAUGGCACUGGGCUAUAGUUGAUUCAGUUAGCUGUUAAUUGAACAUCUAUUAUGCUCAAAACACUUUGGGGUCUAUAGGCCAAUCAACAUGGGGACUAUUCUCUAAGAAGCUGUUAUGCAAACUCCACUUGAACAGAGUGCAAUGGUUGUUUAGAAGAUAAGCUCUGACAAAUGAUUUGGGAACAAAAAAAGGCUCCAUGUAGUCAGGAAAAAGAGAUGUCAGUGAAGUUGGGGGGCUGUUUAGGACAUUAGGGAGAGAAAAACACAGUCUCUAGACAGUACGGAAGAGAAGGCUUUCCUUAAAAGAAAUAUCAAAGAGAUUUUAGGUUGUUAACUUUGGUGCACAAUGUAAACUCAUAUUUACCCCAUGGAAUCUUCAGUAAAUAUUACAUUAUUCACUGAUUUAUCAGAGUCAAUUUUUGGGGGGCCCUUUAAGAAGACAGGUUAGGGCAGCACAUAUACAAACUACCCAAGUAGGGGAAAAAUGCGUGGACUCAUUCUCAAGUUGUUUAUAAUAUGUAGGUGAAGGUCAUCACCCUAGGAUGGCGACUUUGAAAUUCCUAGUCAUCUAUCAGUCUGCCAAUCAGUUAAGCAAAGUAUUGAAAUAACACCCCAUGUGACUAUGUGACCAUCAUAGGACAUGAAAGUAUUGACUGCCUUGACUAACUGUUUGAACUCUACACUGUUUUAUUGUGGGGGGGCACAAAAUGAAAUGACACAGAACCCCUGCCCCUUGGGAACCCACAGCCUAUUGGUGAAAACAGACACAUAAACAUGUAAAAAUAUAAGACAUAAAAUGAAUCAAUAUGACACCAUAAUUGAACUUCAGUAAAGAAAUAAUCUUCAACAAACAUUGACACAUUCCAAGGACAGCAGAAACUCUGAACCAAGAGCGCUGAACUCAGAAAGCCCCUUGAUGUGUGAUGAUUGUUGGACAUUUCUGACAGCAUCACUAUUAGCUGUAUUGAUAACACUUGGGAAAGGUCAAGUUUUGCAAAGACUUUCUGCCCACCAAGAAUAGCAAGGAAUCGAUUGAUUCUGAGCACAAAAACAAUGUCAGAAGCUAGAGGGAAAUGCAGUGCGAUUGCUAUUACUGGGAAGCUCCCCUUCUCUCAAAUAAAUGUCCUGGGAAAUCUACAUUCAACUUCCUGUAGUUAGACUGUUGGACUCUUUGAAUACUCUUGGACCUUUAGCUUUUCACUAGCUUGGUCUUUUGUACCUUCAGUCUGAGCUCAUAGGCUAAUAAUUAAGGAUGUCUUCAUUGACUAUUUAAGGUAACAUCCUUCCGCCAUCACUGUGCUAACACCACACUAAUAAUUUAUUUUUUUGCACUUAAUAUGAAGUCAUCUUCAAUAUUUUAAGUUUGCCUCUUUACCUGUGGCUUGUUCCUCAUUCUCUUCUAGAAUAAAAGCUUCAUGAGUGCAAGAACUACGAUUAUCUUGUAGACAGGGUAGAGGCUAGCCUAAACUAGAUUCCUGUGCACCUCUGCGUGAAUUAGAAAAAAACACCCUCUCCAAAAAGGUGGGUUAGAAAAAGUCACAUCUUCUUGGUAGAUGCCGGUUGCAUGGGUUCAUAGCUUUGACGAGUGGAUUUCAACCCCUCGCUUUUCUUCGGCAUGUCGUACAAGAACUUCAGAAAUAUAUGUUGCAGCCCUGCUUGUCUAGUGCUAUUUGGGAUCACCCCUGGCACAUAGUGAAUGAAUCAAUAUGAUACCGUAAUUGAAUAAGAGGAGACCAUAAUACCCUCUUAGACCUACCAAACAAUCCAUGUUAUACAGCAAUAUCUUAUAUAGGAACAACAACAAUAAAAAACCUUGGAAGGCCUUUGAGACCAACCUUGAUUCCCUUACAGACCAGCUAGAGCCAGUCAGAGGCUCACAGCUGGAACACAACAGCACUUCAAUAGCACAGUAACCAAUUGAGGCUGACUUCUGUGACCUUCUGAUAUUUCAUAAAUGCACCAGCCGCAGGAACUCUUAUUUAAGUACUCCUGUUAGCCUUGUUCUUGCCUACUGACUUUACAGCCCCCUGUACAUGGCUGGGCUAGUGGGACGGAAGCCUUCCAACUGAGCAUCCCUUGCUAGAGGUCCUGUGAGUCCUGACAAAGCCUGUCUCCUGCCUUUUAAGAAUAGCAGAGUCAAAUAAAAUCUUGCCAGUGACUUUGGCCCACGCGUGGAGUGACGCCGACGGAUCUGCCUGAAAUGGAGACAUUAAAGAAUUUUGCAAAGCAAAGAAAAACCCACGGUUGCUUCCAUAAAUCAAAACUUCAAAUAAGAACGCAGCUUUAGCAAUUCAUUCCCUGCAGAAUUAACCUUUGUUUCCCGGCAGGCUGCUUCUAAGAAUAUGCUUCGUGCCUAAAAGGAAAUAGGAGAGCCCUUACAGAAUGGGUUUUAUGUUUACCACGCAGGAGGAAAAGCUGAAAUGAAAGCAAAGUUGAAAAGGAAGCUUGUUUCUAACUAAUCCAGCCUCUAGAUAGAAGUCCUAAGAUGCAAAAGCAAUUAUCAUAUACAUGAAUCUGUGUCCCUACUCACAGAUGCACAAAUGCCACUUCUUCGUCUGCUGUUUCUGUAACUUACUCCUGGCAAGGAUAACAGAGUUCUGGGGACUGGAAAAGGACUCAUCAUCCAGAUUCUUCUCUUCUUUAGGAUUCAACUUGGGACCUCCUCCUGGAAGUCCUCCUGGAUUUGAGAAGUACCCUUCCCCUGUGUCCCCAUAAAACCCUAUGAAUUUCUUUAUUAUUGAAUUUGUCACAUUGUAUUACAGUUAUCUGUUCAUGCGUCAAAGACAAGGGUAUUUUAUUUGACUUUAAAAAAAUCAUUAAAGUCAAAUACUUAGCACAUUGUCUGGAAUAGAAUGACAUCUCAGUAAGGUCUUAAUGAAAUAGUCAAUGGACCAUUCUGUUAACAGUUGCCUAUCGAACUCAUACUAUUUGUUGUCACUCUGCCACACACUAAGACUGUAUACAAGAAAUAUAACAUGUAAUAACAGUGGUUGCUAUCAUUUUUGAAUAUCUAUUCCAAGUCAGGUACUCUGCUAAUUGCUUUACAAAUGGGUUUCACCUGAAUACGUCGCAGCAGCUAUGACCUUCAUUUCAUAGAUCAGACUGAGACCAUAGUAGAUGAACUGACUUUUCCCCAAAGACACACAACAGGCAAGAGGAAGAACCGGGAGUUGAACCAGUCUCCAAAUCCUCUGAUCUAUUACCCUAUAGGAGUUUGCUUCUCUGACCUUAAGAAACAUGUGAUAUAAUGGGGGUUCGGUGGAGUGGUGUCAAAAGUACAAUGCAUUUGAAAUGCUGGAAAACCAUUAAGUGUCAGACGGUAGGGUGGUGCCUUCAUGGAGAAACAGGGAUCAACGAAGCAGGAGCUCCCUGUGUACUGGAUUAAUCAAGGAAAGAUUCAUGGCGGGUCCAGAACUUGAACUAAAAUCAGAAUGGAAUUUAAAUAUAUGGAGAAGAGAAGGUAAAGUAGAGAAACUUACGUUCAUUGAGUACAGAACAUUGGUCUUGGUAAAGAGAUUGGGUUUUGAAACUGGCAGAAUCUGGCACUGAAUUCAAACCUGCUAUUUUAAAGCUGUGAGAACUUUUGCAAUUUGCCCAACCUUUUGAGCCUCUCCACCACCAUAUGUAAAUAGGCAUAGUAAGACCUCUGGUAUCAGUUAAGAAUGCUUUCAUAUGCAAGUAAAAGACAUGUUGAAAAAUGGUGUAAAACAUAAGGACACAUAUGCAUCUCAGGGUUUGUUGAGUAAUUCAGUGGUGUUAUCAAGAACUCAGGCUCUUUUUGUACAUGCGGUCUCCCAUGCCCAGCUGUUAACUCCUCAUCCUUAUGUGUGAAAGAUGGCUGCCACAGAACCAGCCAUUGCAAUCACAUUCCAAGGCAGAAAGGAGGAGUAUGGGAAGUGCUAACACAACUUGUCCUUUUUAUCAGGAAACUAACUAACGCCUUCCCAAACACUCUUCUUUAGGAAUUUCUCCCCUUUUAUUUCAUGGAACAAAGCUGGGUCUCAUGUUGACUCUGAGCUGCAGGGAGAAUCUAUCUAUCUGCAGCUAUCUAGCCUGACUUUAUUCUCUCCAUAGUAGGAGGUAAGUAGAGGAAAACAGGUUGAGAAUGGCUUUUGGGAUAGCCAAACAAGAGCACUGGCCGUGCCUACCUCACUGGCAGUUUAAGGAUCCAGGAAAAAGAUGCAAGUAAAAGAGCAGUGAAGCACUCAUAGAAAGCAGCCAGGACAUGCUGCUCUGGGGAAACGUUGGACAAAACCAUGAUUAGGCUGGGUGCGGUGGCUCACGACUGUAAUCCCAACACUUUUGGAGGCCAAG
rnacentral:lncRNA from 10 species